GAGGAUGCAAUUUUGCCCGUGAAUGCAUUUUCUUAAAUGUGUUGGCUUCAUUCCUUCUUUGGUAAAGAAUAUCAACGGAUUGGCUAAUGCGCUGUAAAUUUUAUUGUACUGCUCCUUGGCUUCCUUGGCUUCGGAGUAGAUGCAGGAGACCGGUUGGUUCUCAUGGUCUUUUCCUCUCCUGGGAACAUCAGUGUGUCAGAUCAAAUGCAAGCAACAAAGCUGCGUGAAACUGCAAGCCUGUCUUGCAGCUCUGAGCGACUUGGCUGUCUUGUCCAGAGAUAACAUCAGAGCGCCCCCUGCUGGCCAGUAGAGCAGAAUGUUGCGGGUCAGCGCCCCCCCACCCCCGCCCGCCGGGAAGCAAAUCGUGCUUUUCUGUGCUCUCCACCCCCCACCCACAGACUCCUUCCACUGCCCCCACCUCCGUUCUGCAGCAAAACCGCACCGCAGGGGAAUAGUACGUCAAGGCUGAACAUUUAAAUGAGUAAAUGAUAAAAAUAAUAAUAAAAUACGAAGGAACCCCCACUUUCACUUGGCCUCCGGGGAAUAAACUAUCAAAUGAUUACCAAAGGGACACAUUUUCUUUUUUCUAAACCUCUUUAUUCUUCUGAGUUUUUGCUGUGGGUUGUUUGUUUCUGCCGAACUGUAGCUUCUGAGUCCAAAGAAAUGUUUUUAAUAGAUGCUGUAGAAGAUUUUUUUAAUGGGUAUCUCAUGGGGAAGGAGGCCAAUAUAAAACAAUGUAUUGCAGCCUCGCAAAAUUCAACUCCCAGGGAACUGGCACUAUUUCAGUAAAGUCCCCAGGAAUCACUUUAGGAAUUCAGACAGUUCCUUGUCUUGAAUGACCCUUUCUUGCAAGGCAAAAAAAUACCGGCUCCUGUACGAUCUUGUUUAUUUCACAAUAAAGAACGUGUUUAAAAGUUGUCACAGUCCUAUCUAUCUACCUACCUACACACACAACAUGUCCUUUCCCUGCGUGCCCUGUUCCCUCCCCAGUUCUUCUCAGUUUUGCUGGAAACGGAGAGGCUAGCUGGAGCGCUCCAAAAUAACCCUCCAGUGUCUCCGACGCUUGAUCUUUCACUGAUGCUUCACGUCAAAUGUAAGGUGUGAGACUGGUCCUACUUUAGAGUGUACGGGUUGUUUUCCAACUGUCUGGGUGCACAGAUGCGUCUUCUCGGCUCCCCGGUGACUCUGCCCGGGACUUCUGACCACCCCGACUCGAGGGCGCCCAGGUGGCGAGAGCCGGGGCCAUGCCCGGGCCGGGCACCCGCCGGCUCCACCGCCUGCCUCUGCUCAUGGGCAAGGCGCUGCCACAGCAGCCCUGGCUCAGGACAGUCUUCUGACCGCAGCCAGACCCCCUGCAAAGCAUGCAAAUCUGCGGUGCGGAACUUUAGUUUGCGGGGACUUUGGGGGCUUUGAUUUUUAAGGUGCGGGAUUGCGGGACUUGGUGAAAACAGCCCUGAGAAACGAGGCGCGGGGGAAGGAACACCGGGCGGGGAGAACAGCAGGGGAAAGAAACCCCCGCCCGCACGCGCGUCACGCCUUCUCCAGCCCUCCGCCUCGGGGACUCCAGGGCCCGGCCGCGGCCCGAGACUUCGGGGAACGGCGCUGCGGGGGCACCGAGGAGGCAGCCAGGUCUCCACGCUAGAGGGGUGAUGCCUCAGUCAGGAUGUGUCUGAAGAAUUGCUGGGGCGAUUGUGUCAACUGAGGGCAAAGAAGGGAAAACAGAAGCAAAGAAAACCACCUCAAAAGUCUCAUGUUUGCUGUUGUUAAAAGGCUGUUUCUUCAUUUCUGAUUUCCUUAUCUUUCACUACAAAGAAAAAACUCAAAAGAUGUGUCUACACUGGAUGAGAAAAAAACACUAACAAUAACAGUGAAGGUGCAUUUGUUUUAUUUCUUUUCCCUGAAAAAAAAAUUUUAAUAUCCACCAAUUUAGUGAAGUCGAAAGCUGUGAACAGGUAAAAGAGGUUCCCUUGUCCGCGUCUAUUUGCUGACUUUCAUCACUUGCAUUUGGUAGGCUUUUGUGUCAAACAGAAAUUAUGGAAAAGAGAAAUAGGUAUUUGCCAAGAAACGACGUUACACUUUCCAGCAGACUCCACCUGAUUCUGCAUUCGAGUGCUGGGAGGCGUGCGCGCGCGUGCCGUUUCCCCCUCAGAAACCCCAAAGCCUUCAUUAGACGUGGACAAAGAGGGGUGAGAACCCUAUUACUGAGCAUUCUGAGAAAAAUAGAAGCAGUGCCCCUCUGCUCCUAGCACCCUAGAAAGGACACCCCGAAAAAGGGCACACAUCAGUGUAUUUUCCUUAAGAGCCCUGAGUUGGGCAGACCUUUCAGAGAAAUACACAGUAAUUAACAUGGGAAAAAGCAAAAUGCUGAAACGAAGGACGGUGGCCAACAAAAAAAUAAAAUAAAGCAUGCUAAAAA